rnacentral:misc_RNA from 1 species
AAUGUCGUAACAAGGUUUCCGUAGGUGAACCUGCGGAAGGAUCAUUACAAAUAAAGCUGGUAGGAAGUGGGGUCUUGAUCUGUAAGUGGUAGAGCGAACAGUCCGGCUGCCUCCCGAAAUGUCUUACAUGUCCCCCACAGCUGCAUGAGCGAUUCGAACCUUAGAAUCAUCAUACUACUUCCUUUGCUUUGGGUUGGGCUCAGUUCAGCCCAGUAGGCCCAAGACCGGAACCCUCAUCUUGCCAUUUCUGGCAUUUAGGAUCGAUCGUCGAUGCAGCAUAUCUAUUAAUUAAUUUAAAAGUUCAAUUUGC